CGCCAGACUGCAUAAAAUACAUAAAUACAAAACACGAAGAAAUACAAAUAGGUUUAGACUAGCACUUUAGCCAAAGUGACAUUUAGUUUUCAUAAUCUUUCGUUAUAAUAUAGUCCAUCAAAAACAGUUCUAUCAUGCAAAUAUUAGUGUCCACUUAAUAGACUAAUAUUUUCUGCUUCAAUGUGAAUCUCACUAAACUCAAGCUUUUUUUUUUAAUUUAUCUUCAAAAGUAGGAAGUUUAUGAACAGCGAUUUUUAAAAUUUACAAAUAUUGUCCA
rnacentral:lncRNA from 1 species